CCCUGACAGACGCAAGGUGCGUCUGACAAUAGCCAAGACAGGAGAUCAUAAUG
rnacentral:sRNA from 12 species